CCGAGGAGUGUAACUUGUAUGCGAGUCGAGAGGUGGCAAAACCCCAAGGCGUAAUGAAAGUAAAGGUCGGUUAACCGGCUGACAUGGGAUCUGCUUUUCGAAGCAGCGCACCAUGGCCCUGUCUUGUCUGCAUGCAGAUGGGCAGCGGUAGAGCGUACAGGUUGCGACCCGAAAGAUGGUGAACUAUGCCUGAGCAGGACGAAGUCAGAGGAAACUCUGGUGGAAGUCCGUAUCGGUUCUGACGUGCAAAUCGAUCGAUAGACUUGGGUAUAGGGGCGAAAGACUAAUCGAACCAUCUAGUAGCUGGUUCCCUCCGAAGUUUCCCCCAGGAUAGCUGGAGUUCAUUGCGGUUAUAUCCGGUAAAGCGAAUGAUUAGAGGACUUGGGGUCGAAACGACCUCAACCUAUUCUCAAACUUUCAAUGGGUAUGUUGUCUCGGUUUCUUUGUUGAACUGUUGACACGAACGCGAGCUCCAAGUGGGCCAUUUUUGGUAAGCAGAACUGGCGCUGUGGGAUGAACCAAACGUUGGUUAAGGUGCCUAACUUCUCGCUCAUGAGACCCCAUAAAAGGCGUUGGUUGAUAUAGACAGCAGGACGGUGGCCAUGGAAGUCGGUACCCGCUAAGGAGUGUGCAGCAACUCUUCUGCCGAAUUAUCUAGCCUUGAAAAUGGAUGGCGCUUGAGUGGAACACCUAUAUCCAGCCGUUGCUGGCUUGUGCGUUGUCUAGCGCCCGGCCGCAGGGUCGUGGCGAUUAAUUCGAAGAAUUGGACAUAGGCCCAGCUGGAGCCUUCCUUAGUGCGAAUUUCGG
rnacentral:ncRNA from 1 species